GAUGAACGCUGGCGGCGUGCUUAACACAUGCAAGUCGAGCGAGAAGUUUUGAAGAGCUUCUUCUGAUGGAAUUCAAAAUGGAAAGCGGCGGACGGGAGAGUAACGCGUAGGCAACCUGCCCCAUACAAAGGGAUAGCAUUUGGAAACGAAUAUUAAUACCUUAUGAAACUAAACUAGUGCAUGCUAGGUAGGUCACAGAUUUAUCGGCAGGGGAUGGGCCGGCGUCUGAUUAGCUAGUUGGCGAGGUAAGGGCUCACCAAGGGGAUGAUCAGUGGCCGUGCAGAUAGGGUGAACGGCCAAAUUCGAACGGAGGCACGGUCCAAACAUCUACGAGAAGCAGCGGAGGGGUAUAGUGGACAAUGCGGGAAAGUCUAAUGCAGCUACGGCGCGUAAAGGAUGUAGGUUGGUGGGGAAUAAAGGUAUGUUAUAGGUGAUGUAAACUGACGGUAACCUAGGAGAAAGCCCCGGCUAACUCCGUG
rnacentral:rRNA from 1 species